rnacentral:lncRNA from 1 species
UGGGUAGUCAUGAUAUAUUGCUAGACGUCAAUCUUGACUUGUAGAUUUUUAACCAAAUUAAAGAGUUUAAUUCGAUUGUCAAUUAGAAAUGAUUCUAAUUAUUGAGCUCGGGUUAGCUCGAUUGGACCUAAAUCAAUUAGAUUGAAAUCUAAUCAAAUUUGGUCAACUUAUAUCCGGACCUACUGCCAGCUAGAUGUAGAAUCCAAUGGGUCACACACGUAUAAAAAUUGGCCAAGGACCC